UACGUAGGGUGCGAGCGUUGUCCGGAAUUAUUGGGCGUAAAGAGCUUGUAGGCGGUUUGUCGCGUCUGCUGUGAAAAUCCGGGGCUCAACCCCGGACUUGCAGUGGGUACGGGCAGACUAGAGUGUGGUAGGGGAGACUGGAAUUCCUGGUGUAGCGGCGAAAUGCGCAGAUAUCAGGAGGAACACCGAUGGCGAAGGCAGGUCUCUGGGCCACUACUGACGCUGAGAAGCGAAAGCAUGGGGAGCGAACAGG
rnacentral:rRNA from 1 species